UAUCCCACCAAAUUAAAACCAUCCCGAUUAAAUUAACCCGCCCCAAAAUUAAACCCGGCCCACUUCCCUUUUAACCCAAAACCAGUCAGCCCAUUUUGUCUUCUUCACUGCUCCGGUGAGGAGCUUCUAGCUCCGGUGAACCGGAGCAACUAGCUACGCAACACUCGUUUUUGGUGUCGUGGAUGCUGUUCUUUUUAGACGUACAAUUGAAUCCAUGGCAUCAUCUUCUUCUUUUGCGAGUGAUUCACAGUACUGUCCUCGAUGGAAGUACGAUGUCUUUCUAAGUUUUAGAGGUGAAGAUACCCGUAAAACAUUUACGGGUCACUUGUACGAAGGUUUGAAAAACAGGGGAAUAUUCACCUUUCAAGAUGAUAAAAGGCUAGAGCAAGGCGAUUCCAUCUCAGAAGAACUCUUGAAAGCUAUCGAAGAGUCUCAAGUUGCACUUGUCGUUUUCUCGAGAAAUUAUGCUACAUCAAGAUGGUGCUUGAAUGAACUAGUUAAGAUCAUGGAAUGCAAGGAGAAAGAAAAUGGACAAACAGUCAUACCGAUCUUCUAUGAUGUGGAUCCAUCACAUGUUCGAUACCAAAGAGAGAGUUUUUCCGAAGCAUUUGUCAAGCAUGAAUCGAGGUAUAAGGAUGAUGUCGAGGGGAUGCGGAUGGUGCAAGCAUGGAGAACUGCCCUAACUGCUUCCGCAGAAAUAAUAGGAUAUGAUAUUCGUGACGAGAUUGAAUCAGAGAAAAUUCAACAGAUCGUCGAUCACAUCUCUUCUAAAUUUUGCAAGAGUGCUCAUUCUGUAUCUUUUUUGCAAGAUGUUGUGGGAAUAAGUGCUCAUUUAGAGAAACUAAAAUCCAAACUUCAAAUAGAAAUCAAUGAUGUUCGGAUUUUAGGGAUCUGGGGAAUAGGCGGAGUCGGUAAAACUACAAUAGCAAAAGCCAUCUUUGACAGUCUAUCUUAUCAAUUUAAAGCUGCUUGUUUUCUUGCAGAUAUUAAAGAAAAUGCAAGAAAGAAUCAACUGCAUUCUUUACAAAAUACCCUUCUCUCUGAACUUUUAAGGAAAAAAGAUGAUUACGUCAAUAAUAAGUAUGAGGGAAAGCGCAUGCUUCGGAGCAGACUUUGUUCUAUGAAGGUGCUGAUUGUGCUUGAUGACAUAGAUCAUGGUGAUCAUUUGGAGUACUUAGCAGGUGAUCUUUGUUGGUUUGGUAACGGCAGCAGAGUUAUUGUAACAACUAGAAAUAGACAUUUGAUUGAGAAGGAUGAUGCAAUAUAUGAAGUGCCUAUGCUACCUGAUCCUGAAGCUAUUCAAUUGUUCAAUCAACAUGCUUUCAAAAAAGAAAUUCCAGAUGAGCAUUUUAAGAAGUUCUCAUUGGAGGUAGUAAAUCACGCUAAAGGUCUUCCUUUAGCCCUCAAGGUUUGGGGUUCUUUAUUUCAUAAGAAAGGCCUAACUCAGUGGAGAGGAAUUGUAGACCAAAUAAAGAAAAACUCUAAUUCAGAAAUUGUUGAAAAGCUCAAAAUAAGUUAUGAUGGGUUGGAGGCCGAAGAGCAAAAGAUAUUUCUAGAUAUCGCAUGUUUCUUCCGCGGAGAUGAAAGAAAAGAAGUCAUGCAAAUCCUUGAAAGCUGUGAUUUUGGAGCUGAAUACGGAUUGGGUGUCUUAAUUGACAAAUCUCUUGUGUUCUUAGAUGAAUAUGAUAGGAUUGAAAUGCACGACUUAAUACAAGAAAUGGGUAAAUACAUAGUGGAAAUGCAAAAAGAUUCCGGAAAGCUUAGCAGAAUAUGGGACGUUAAAAAUUUCAAAGAUGUGAUGGUGGACAAUACGGGGACCAUGACAGUGGAAGCAAUCUGGGUUACUCUUUCUGAAAAACUAUACUUUAACAUGAAAAAUAUGCAAAGGCUUCGGAUAUUAUGCAUACAUGAUAGGAUCAAUUUUUUUGAGAUACUCAAUGGUCAUGAUGGUUCCAUUGUCAUUCCCAACAACUUGUGUUGUUUUUUCUGGCAUGGUUAUCCUUGCAAGUUAUUGCCAGAAAAUUUUAAUCUCAGAAGGCUUGUUCAUCUUGAUCUGCGAUGGAGUUCGUUGCAUCAAUUAUGGAAUGAAACAAAGCAGCAAUUGCCGUCUCUACGGAGGGUAGAUCUAAGUUGCUCCCACUGCCUGAAGAGGACACCCGAUUUCACGGGGAUGCCAAAUUUGGAGUAUUUGUAUCUAAAGUAUUGUAGUAGACUUGAAGAGGUUCACCAUUCCCUGGGAUGUUCCAGAAAACUUAUUGAGUUAAAUUUGAGUUCUUGUCGUAGACUCAAGAGGUUUCCAUAUGUUAAUGCAGAAUCUCUUGAAUCUCUGGUUCUAAGUGGUUGCUCUAGGUUAGAGAAAUUUCCAGAAAUUGUCGGAAUAAUGAAGCCGGAGUUAGAGAUUAUGAUGUCAUUUUCUGGGGUAAGGGAAUUGCCAUUAUCUAUCAAUCAUGCGCUAGCUCAUUUUACAAAGCUAGAUUUGAGUUUUAUGAGAAACCUUGUAGCUCUUCCAAGCAGCAUUUGUAAGUUGAAAGGUUUGGUGAAGCUAGAUGUGUCAUUUUGCUCAAAACUUAAAAGCUUGCCGGAAGAGAUAGGCGAUUUAGAAAAGUUGGAGGAGCUUAAUGCCAUACAUACUCCAAUCUCACGACCUCCGUCUUCCAUCGUCCGCUUGAACAAGCUUAAAUUGUUGACUUUUGAAAAAGAAAAAGCAGAAGAUAGAGCGGACUUUGUGUUCCCUCAGGUGAAUGAAGGGUUACACUCAUUGGAACUCCUGAAUCUCACUUACUGCAAUUUAAUAGAUGGAGGACUUCCAGAAGACAUUGGAUCCUUGUCCUCUUUGAAAUGGUUGAAUCUCGGUCUAAAUAAUUUUGAGCAUUUGCCUCGAAGCAUAGCCCAGCUUGGUGCUCUUCGAUCCUUGAACUUAUCAGAUUGCAAGAGGCUUACACAGCUGCCAGAAUUUCCACGGGAAUUAGGCACAAUAUAUGCAGAUUGGAGCAAUGAUUCUAUCUGUAAGUCGUUGUUUCAGAAUAUCUCAUCAUUGCAGCAUGACAUAUCUGCUUCAGAUUCCUUGUCACUAAGAGUGUUUAGGAGUAGGUGUUGUUAUAUCCCAAGUUGGUUCCACCAUCAGCGAAUAGGUACCAGUGUAUCAGUCAAAUUGCCUGAGAAUUGGUAUGUGUCGGAUAACUUCUUGGGAUUUGCUGUAUGUUUCAUUGGCAAAUUAAUUGACAUGAUCACAGCUCAUUUGAUUCCCUUAUGUGAUGAUGGGAUGUCGUCGAUGACCCAGGAAUUUUUCUUAUCCAACCAUUCAGAAUAUAUUUAUGAGGAUGAUACUAUUAAUUUUUUCUUGGUACCUCUUGCUGGCUUAUGGGAUGCAUCUAAUGCAAAUGGAAAAGAUCAAAAUGACUAUGGUAGGUUAGAAAUACAUGGUAUUUAUUCCCCUGGAGAAAUUAAAAAUUUUGGAGUUCGAUUGUUGUAUAAAGAUGAAGCUGAGUUUCACAUUGGGAAAAGGAGGAGCAGAUAUGAACAUCAUGACGAGGCCAAUUACUCCUCUUCUAAGAAACAAAAGUCACUCUUGCAGCUCUUUCCCACAACCCCGGGAUUUUAGAUUAAAUAUAGAUGACCCAAAAUACACAUUGCGGAUGAAUGGCAAGAUAACUUUGCCAAAAUAGGUGGAUGAAAGAAGCCUAGGAAUCCAAUGUAGCUCCAAUGCUCGAGCUGUUCUACUGAGCAAGCGGCAAGCGUAGUCUCCGUUGAUAUCUACUGUAAAAUGUUACAUGGUGGAUAUCAACGACGACUAAGUACUGAAAAUGGUCAAUCCAGCACGCGGAAAUAUCUCAUCAUUGCAGCAUGAAAUCUCUACUUCAAAUUCCUUCUCACCAAGAGUGUUUACAAUUGAGCAUGGUGAGAGCAAGAUCCCUAUUUGGUUCCACUAUCGGGGAACAGGUACAAGUGUAUCAGUCAAUUUGCCUGAAAAUUGGUAUGUAUGUGAUAACGUCUUGGGAUUUGCUUUAUGUUACUCUGGCAACUUAAUUGAUACCACAGCUCACUUGAUUCCCCUAUGUGAUGACGGGGUGUCGUGGAUGACCCAGAAACUCUCCUUAGCCAACCAUUCAGAAGAAUUUCCAGAAUCUGCUAUGCAUUUUUUCUUGGUACCUUUUAUUGGCUUGUGGGAUACAUCUAAGGCAAAUGGUAAAACACCAAAUGACUAUGGGCUUAGUAGGUUGUCUUUUUCUGGAAUAUGGAAGGAGCUUGGAUUUCGUUGGUUGUAUAAAGAUGAGCCAGGGUUUGAAGCAAGUUUGUCCUCUUGUAAUGAUGAACACCAUGACUCCGUGACCAGAAUCUGUCGAAUACUCUGAUAACAUUAGAAACAAAGGAGCUCGUUAAUGGGUGAUGUACAUAUCAACAAUGAGUUUUUUUCUCUGCUUGUGCUGAGCCAUGAUUAACCAUGGUCUUGAGAUAUGUUGGAGUCGUGAAUGUGUCACCAGAAAAAGGGUCGUCGAGCUGCAAAGAUAUAAUGUAUACCUUACAGAUAUAAAGAAUAACACUGAGCUGUCAUUGGCAAAGGGUCAUGACGUUUUCCAAUGACAGGAUAAUGGGUCACGACGUUUCAAUUUCAGGCAUAAUAUUGAGUGCUAGAUUUAAGGCACUAUAUCAUGAUUGGAAGUUGGGAUCGUUUUGGAUUAGGAGUUGCAUCAUAUCUUGGUGCCCCAUCUGUAUUCAUUUUACUCUGCAAGCCAUUAUUCUACUUUUUUUAGUACCAAGUUUUAGAUUUUGACUUUGUUGUAUGAUACUAUGAUUCAUGUGGAAAGAUUUAUCUCAUUUUUAACUUUAGCUAUUCCCCUGAUCAUGUCAUUCUGCAGAUGUAUACCCAACCGAUAUAAAGAUUUCACCGCGUUAUCAUUUGUAGGUGUUAUAAGUUCACAGAGAAAGCAAAGUGUUAUUCCCAAAGAUAGCAACUGAACUUACUAAUUCAUUUUGAUGCUCUCACUCUCUCUGAGUGUUAUAUUUGGGGAAAUGUCUGCUUUAAAUACAAAAACUUUAUGUGGGAUGGGUCAGUCUUAACACUUCUGCAUCAUACAUUUUCAUGUCGAAAAGUAUUGAUCAUGCUCUAACUUUAGCUAUACACUUUUUGCCGGGGGCAUUUUCAUAUUUUUACCAAGUAAAACACGGAGGUUCAAUCUGUAUUCAUUUACUGCAAGCCAGUAUUCUGCUUUUCUGAGUACCGAGUUUCAGAUUUUGACUUUUUUGUAUGAUUUUGAUUUUAAUGCUCUCUCAGAUUGUUUUAUUAGUAGAAAUUUCUGUUUAAAUGUAGAACUAGAGUCUUGGCCGUUCUCGUCAAAUCUACAUAUAUACUAAGUCUUAUUAGCAAAGGUGACACGACACUUCUCUUACACCAGAAUACCGCGUUUCAUU